GACGAACGCUGGCGGCGUGCUUAACACAUGCAAGUCGAACGGAAAGGCCCUGCUUUUGUGGGGUGCUCGAGUGGCGAACGGGUGAGUAACACGUGAGUAACCUGCCCUUGACUUUGGGAUAACUUCAGGAAACUGGGGCUAAUACCGGAUAGGAGCUCCUGCUGCAUGGUGGGGGUUGGAAAGUUUCGGCGGUUGGGGAUGGACUCGCGGCUUAUCAGCUUGUUGGUGGGGUAGUGGCUUACCAAGGGUUUGACGGGUAGCCGGCCUGAGAGGGUGACCGGCCACAUGGGGACUGAGAGACGGCGCAGACGCCUACGGGAGGCAGCAGUGGGGAAUAUUGCGCAAUGGGCGGAAGCCUGAGGCAGCAGCGCCGCGUGCGGGAUGACGGCCUUCGGGUUGUAAACCGCUUUCGCCUGUGACGAAGCGUGAGUGACGGUAAUGGGUAAAGAAGCACCGGCUAACUACGUG
rnacentral:rRNA from 1 species